CAAUUCCCUUCGCUUUGGGAUGAGCCUGCGUCUCAUUAGCUAGUUGGUAGGGGUAAAGGCCUACCAAGGCUAUGAUGGGUAGCUGGUCUGAGAGGAUGAUCAGCCACACUGGAACUGAAACACGGUCCAGACUCCUACGGGAGGCAGCAGUGGGGGAAUCUUGCGCAAUGGACGACAGUCUGACGCAGCCACGCCGCGUGAGUGAAGAAGGCCUUCGGGUUGUAAAGCUCUGUCGAGUGGGACGAAAAAUUUUUAGGUAAAUAGCCUAAAGAUCUGACGGUACCGCUAAAGGAAGCACCGGCUAACUCCGUGCCAGCAGCCGCGGUAA
rnacentral:rRNA from 1 species